AGUCAGGGCCAGGAGUCACAGGAGAUACAGGCUGGAGGUUAAUAAUAGUGGUAGAAGGUAGAUUUCUUGUGCAAUUUGCAUUCAAUGAAGAGCCAGAAAAAGUGACUUGAUUAAUAGGAUAUCAACAUGGGUCGUGGGGAGCCAAUACCCCAGUACUUUGGAUAGAAAGCCUAUGGUUCUGAACUGAAGGAUUCUGAUGCUUUCUUCAUCAAACAGUGAGCAAUGCCAGGCACAAUUCUAAGGGCCUUACAUGUGUUAAGUCCUUCAAUCCUCACUAUUCUGUGAGGUAGGUUCUGUUAUUAUCCUUCUUUGUAUAAGCACAGAGAGGUUAACUAACUUGGUUAAAUUUCCAUGCCUAUUUAGUGAUGACUUUGCUGAAUUCAGGUUCUAGAACCUGUGAUGCUAUCCACCUUACUAGACUGCUUCUUUAAAGUUAAAUAAGGGCCUCACUCUGAAGUCACUAAUUGAGCUGUGAAAAGCAGUUUCAUUCAAGCUAGUAUUUCAUAAAGCAAGGCAGAAUGACUUUGCAAAGAACACAGGCCAAGAAACCAGAAAUUGGGACCCAAGCAUGGCCACCCACCUGAAUUCCACUCAGAUCAAUGCUCCUCUGGUUGUUUGACUUCCCGGACUUCCCUCCCCUAAGGGCACAGAGCUCUCACCAAACCUGAGAUUUCACACACAAGCGGCCUGCUUAGCAGGUACCAUCUCCACCAAAACACACAUUUGAAGAGCUGUAACCUCAGCUCCAUCUUCCUGGUAUCCUUCCUCCUUAACCUUAGAAGGUACAAAGAGGAGGGCCAGGCACAAUGGCUCAUGCUGGUAAUCCCAGCACUUUGGGAGGCCAAGGUGGGCAGAUCCCUUGAGUCCAGGAGUUCGAGACCAGCCUGGGCACAUGGUGAAAACCCAUCUCUAUAAAAAAUACAGAAAUUAGCUGGGUGCGGUGGCACAUGGCUGUAGUCCCAGCUACUUGGCAGGUAGCUGAAGUGGGAGGAUCACUUGAGCCUGGGAGGUUGAGGCUGCGGUGAGCCAAGAUUGAGCCACUGCACUCCAGCCUGGGUGACAAAGAAAGACCCUGUCGAAGAAGAAGAAGCAGCAGCAGCAGAAAAAGAAGAAGAAGAAGAAGCAGAAGAAGCAGAAGAAGAAGCAGAAGAAGAAGAAGCAGAAGAAGAAGAAGAAGAAACAAAGGGGAGGAUGCAACUUGGAGAGGCCCAGCCCCUAGGAGAAAGCCUAACUGCAGUAAAGGAGUCCUGGAGACAGGACAAGAAUGAAGUCAAUGAAGCAUAGCAGGAGUGGAGAUAAAGACGCGCAUGAAAUUUGGUGCUGUGACUCGGAUUGGGGGACCUCCCUUGGGAGAUCAAUCCCCUGUACUCCUGUUCUUUGCUCCGUGAGAAAGAUCCACCUAUGAUCUCAGGUCCUCAGACCGACCAGCCCAAGGAACAUCUCACCAAUUUUAAAUCAGGUAAGCGGCCUCUUCUUACUCUCUUCUCCAACCUCUCUCACUGUCCCUCAACCACUUUCUCCUUUCCACUCUUCAAUCUCUCCCUUCUCUUAAUUUCAAUUCCUUUCAUUUUCUGGUAGAGACAAAGGAGACACGUUUUAUCCGUGGACCCAAAACUCCGGCGCCAGUCACGGACUGGGAAGGCAGCCUUCCCUUGGUGUUUAAUCAGUGCAGGGACGCCUCUCUGAUUAUACACCCACGUUUCAAGGGUGUCAGACCACGCAGGGACGCCUGCCUUGGUCCUUCAACCUCAGCGGCAAGUCCCGCUUUUCUGGGGUAGGGGCAAGUAGCUCAACCCCUUCUCUCCUUGUCUCUACCCCUUCUCUGCUUUUCUGGGAGAGGGGCAAGUACCCCUCAACCCCUUCUCCUUCACCCUUAGCGGCAAGUCCCGCUUUCCUAGGGGGCAAGAAGCCCCCAAUAGCUUAUUUCCGCACCCCAACCUCUUAUCUCUGUGCCCCAAUCCCUUAUUUCCGCACCCUGACCUCUUAUCUCUGUGCCCCAAUCCCUUAUUUCCGUGCCCCAACUCCUUCUCUGCUUUUCUGGAGGGCAAGAACCCCCCACCCCUUCUCCGUGUCUCUACUCUUCUCUGGGCUUGCCUCCUUCACUAUGGGUAAGCUUCCACCUUCCAUUCCUCCUUCUUCUCCCUUAGCCUGUGUUCUCAAAAACUUAAAACCUCUUCAACUCACACCUGACCUAAAACCUAAAUGCCUUAUUUUCUUCUGCAAUGCCGCUUGACCCCAAUACAAACUCGACAGUAGUUCCAAAUAGCCAGAAAAUGGCACUUUGAAUUUUUCCAUCCUGCAAAAUCUAAAUAAUUCUUGUCAUAAAAUAGGCAAACGAUCUGAGGUGCCUGACGUCCAGGCAUUCUUUUACACAUCAGUCCCGUCCUAGUCUCUGUGCCCAGUGCAACUCGUCCCAAAUCUUCCUUCUUUCCCUCCCGCCUGUCCCCUCAGUACCAACCCCAAGCGUCGCUGAAUCUUUCUAAUCUUCCUUUUCUACAGACCCACCUGACCUCUCCCUUCCUCCCAGGCUGCUCCUCGCCAGGCCGAGCUAGGUCCCAAUUCUUCCUCAGCCUCUGCUCCUCCACCCUAUAAUCCUUUUAUCACCUCCCCUCCUCACACCUGGUCCGGCUUACAGUUUCGUUCCGUGACUAGCCCUCCCCCACCUGCCCAGCAAUUUACUCUUAAAAAGGUGGCUGGAGCUAAAGGCAUAGUCAAGGUUAAUGCUCCUUUCUCUUUAUCCCAAAUCAGAAGCGUUUAGGCUCUUUUUCAUCAAAUAUAAAAAUCCAGCCCAGUUCAUGGCUCGUUCGGCAGCAACCCUGAGACACUUUACAGCCCUAGACCCUAAAAGGUCAAAAGGCCGUCUUAUUCUCAAAAUACAUUUUAUUACCCAAUCUGCUCCCAACAUUAAAUAAAACUCCAAAAAUUAAAUUCCGGCCCUCAAACCCCACAACAGGAUUUAAUUAACCUCGCCUUCAAGGUGUACCAUAAUAGAAAAAAGUUGCAAUUCCUUGCCUCCACUGUGAGACAAACCCCAGCCACAUCUCCAGCACACAAGAACUUCCAAACGCCUGAACCGCAGCGGCCAGGUGUUCCCCCAGAACCUCCUCCCCCAGGAGCUUGCUACACGUGCCGGAAAUCUGGCCACUGGGCCAAGGAAUGCCCGCAGCCCGGGAUUCCUCCUAAGCCGCGUCCCAUCUGUGCGGGACCCCACUGGAAAUCGGACUGUUCGACUCACCUGGCAGCCACUCCCAGAGCCCCUGGAACUCUGGCCCAAGGCUCUCUGACUGACUCCUUCCCAGAUCUUCUCGGCUUAGCGGCUGAAGACUGACGCUGCCCGAUCGCCUCAGAAGCCCCCUAGACCAUCACCGACGCUGAGCUUCGGGUAACUCUCACAGUGGAAGAUGAAGAAACUGGGGCUCUGAAUGGCAUAUUAACGCGUGCAGCUCCAGACAGCGAGGAAGUGAUGGCAACUCUAUCCGAACUCAAAUCUGCCAGACCUAUACCAGUAGGUGCCUGUGUGCAGUUGGGGACUCACCUCUGCCAGUGCUGGCAUGAGCUAGCUGUCUUGAACUGAAAACAGACACUCAAAGAUGGGCUGUGGGAUCCCAGAGAGGUGGCAGAAUGGUCAAAGCUAUGAAGCCAACAGCUGCUGCCAACAAGAAAGUCCUGAGCCCUGAGUGAUUGUAAUUUAAACUUAAUGCUGGGAGUGGGUGUUUAUUUUGGAGGAGUGGGCUGCUUAUUUUUGGUUUGGGGACUUGUUCAUUCAUCUUUUCUCAGCGGCGCCUACUGCUGCCCUGGCCCGAAGUUAAAGCUCAAUAAAUCACUGUUGCACAACUGA